AUUGAAACACCAGUUCUCAUACAAUCAGCAAAGUUAACCAACAUUGAGCUUGGUCAGUUCAUAGAUGGGUGACUGCUUGGGAAUACCAGGUGCUGUA